rnacentral:tRNA from 1 species
CGGGGCGUGGCGCAGUCUGGUAGCGCGCGUGCUUUGGGAGCAUGAGGUCGCUGGUUCGAGUCCAGUCGCCCCGACCA